UAAAUUUUAAGUUAUAUAAACUAAGAACCUUCAAAGUUCUAAAAAAGAGUAGUCUUAAAUUUAA
rnacentral:tRNA from 1 species